GUAAAAGGGUCGGAUGUGCUUCGUGGGAAUGAGGUGAAAUGUGCCUGCGUUUCAGGGUCACUUCAAGGUUAUUUUCCGCUUUCCCUGGUGGACAAACACCUGAUGUAAGUGAAAAGAGCAUCGCUCCCAAAGGUAGGACCGCUAACUAGGAGUUGCUAGGAGACCAUGAUUGGCGUAUGUGAGCAUGUUCCUGUAUCUCUCUCUCUCUCUCUCUGUGUGCUUCUCUUCAUCUUCUGGAGGACCCAGCUGGUUGUUUAAAGACAUCAUAUGUUCACAGGGAAAGAUGUUCUGUAGUCUGGGAGGCAAAAAACAGGUUUACAGACCAAAAGGGGAAAACGGGAGCAUGAAAUGUAGGAAAUCUAAACUUUGAGAAUAUUACGUUACCGGGAAAAGGAAACAGUUGAGGAAAAUAAACCAGGGACAGAUUUAUCUCGCAAGAGAGCUCCUCCAAUUGACACUAACACUGUUGUACUAACAAUGAACCAUUGUUACGGCCCUUUUGUAGAUUCCAGGACAAUAAAAAAACAAUCAACGACAGGCGACAUUUACAACCAUUAAAGACAUUAUUUUUAAUACAAUUUAACCCACUUUGUUCACAUAAGCUGUAGUAGUCCUGGACUACAACACAGGCUUUGAUGUGUAAAAUGAGAGGAUUAACCUUUGAGUACACUUGUCAUGGAUACCUCUGGAGUCCUUAAAGACAUCAGCCUGUGUGUCUAAACAGAAAUAAAUGUGUCCUUCACUGUGUGCGCGUGAGUGUGUGCGUGUGUGUGAUUAAAGCCUGGCCAUCUGGUCAAAGCAUUUCAUGAUGGAUGGAUAAAUUAUUUCUGAUCAUGCGCAACUUGUUUGGUGGCCUUCCCAAAGUUCCAAACUGAUUUAUGUGAGAGCGUGACUCCCGCGCAAGUUGACUUUUGCGUCAUCCUCUCGGCAAAUAGAGGGAGAGAGAGAGAGAGAGAGAGAGAGAGAGAGAGAGAGAGAGAGAGAGAGAGAGAGAGGGAGGGGGUAGGGAGAUAUUCUCCAUAAAGCCUUUUUUUCUCGCUUUCUUUCUGCCCUUGAGCAUCCCGGGUAAACCCGAGCUUGUAAAGUGGGAAGAGGAGGAGGAGAGGGAGGGGGGGAGAAGGGCGGGCACGAACCUUUCCUCAAAGUCAACAUUUUAUACUUUUGAUACUCCUUUCCGCCGGAUUGUUCACUCCUCUUUUCGCAGCCGUUUCCAGAUCCAGGACACCGAUCCACCGCGCGCAGCCGUCCACGGCGGGACCGAGACAAGAAGGACAACUCUCCGGGAGAAAGAAGCAGCGAGACGGGGCGUCCAGAUAACAGGAGUACCGCGAGGACCGCGGAGGGGACCGAGUUCCAGUGGAUGA
ensembl:lncRNA